UGCAUGUCUAAGUACUUGCCGAUAACCAAGGCGAAACCGCGAAUGGCUCAUUAAAUCAGUUAUGGUUCCUUAGAUUGUUUCUGCUACUUGGAUAACUGUGGCAAUUCUAGAGCUAAUACAUGCACUAAACCUGGGCUGCCUUCGGGAUGUUCGGGUGCUUUUAUUAGACCAAGACCAAACGGGCUUCGGUCCGUGGUAUCUGUGGUGACUCUGGAUAACUUUCGCUGAUCGCACGCCUUCGGGCGGCGACGCUUCUUUCAAGUGUCUGCCUUAUCAACUGUCGAUGGUAGGUUAUGCGCCUACCAUGG
rnacentral:rRNA from 4 species